rnacentral:RNase_P_RNA from 1 species
GAGGAAGGUCCGGACUCCGCCGGGCAGGCUGCUCGGGGCAACCCGAGAGGGGGCGACCCCUGGAAAGUGCCACAGAGAACAGACCGCCAACGGUCUCCCCUGAUCCCCCUCUCCCUGCGGGGAGAGGGUGGGGGGGAGGUGCGGGCAAGGGUGAAACGGUGGGGUAAGAGCCCACCGCCGGGACCGUGAGGCGCCCGGGCACGGUAAACCCCAGCCGGAGCAAGGCCAAAUAGGGAGGCGGUUGAGGAUGGCCCGUCCGAUGCCUCCGGGUAGGCCGCCUAGAUGAAUGGCCCCCCACGACAGAAUCCGGCCUA